rnacentral:rRNA from 1 species
GAUGAACGCUAGCUACAGGCUUAACACAUGCCAGUCGAGGGGAAACGGCAUUGAGUGCUUGCACUCUUUGGACGUCGACCGGCGCACGGGUGAGUAACGCGUAUCCAACCUUCCCAUUACUGUGGGAUAACCUGCCGAAAGGCAGACUAAUACCGCAUAGUCUUCGAUGACGGCAUCAGAUUUGAAGUAAAGAUUUAUCGGUAAUGGAUGGGGAUGCGUCUGAUUAGCUUGUUGGCGGGGUAACGGCCCACCAAGGCUACGAUCAGUAGGGGUUCUGAGAGGAAGGUCCCCCACAUUGGAACUGAGACACGGUCCAAACUCCUACGGGAGGCAGCAGUGAGGAAUAUUGGUCAAUGGACGGAAGUCUGAACCAGCCAAGUAGCGUGCAGGAUGACGGCCCUAUGGGUUGUAAACUGCUUUUGUAUGGGGAUAAAGUUAGGGACGUGUCCCUAUUUGCAGGUACCAUACGAAUAGGGACCGGCUAAUUCCGUG